ACCCAUGUUCUCCAAAAAUAGGCUAAAACCAACAAAAAAUUGCUUAGAAGCAGUAAACAGUUUUGUUACUGUUUUUAUGGUCAAAAUGUGUUACAAUCCAAUGCAUUUGACUAAUUAUAAGAGUUAAAGAUGAAUAAGAAGUGUUUAGACAACACUUAUAUCAAGUUUCUAUCAAAAGAGGAUAAAACCAACAAAAAAUUGCUUAGAAUCUGUAAAUGGCUUUGUUAGUUUUUCUAUGGUCAAAAAGCGUCACAAUCCAAUGCAUUUGACUAAUUAUAAGGGUUAGAGAUGGAUUAGGAGAGUUCAUACAACACUUACACCUAUUUUCUCCCAAAAGA
rnacentral:sRNA from 1 species